AUGAUCCCUUCAGCUCCAAUGAUGAACUUUGUGCGUGCCCAGAUCAAGAAAGCAGCUGAUGAGACCGAGACUAUUCUAGAAACAACCCCGGCUGGCAAAAGCGAUGGGGAAGGUGCACUUCGAGCAUUCAUUAAGCGCCAGGGCCAAAAGUUAAGGCGGCUAUCAAACCUUUUCGGUUGUCGUGACCCCGAGUAUGUAUCACCAGAACAGUCUAGGUCGGCGACACCAUCAGAUCCCAGUUCUGGCCAUGCUGAUUCUUUGGAGGAUGAGGAUGUGGGUGUGGUCACCCAAGAGGUUGCUGAUGAUAUGACCUUGGGGACGUACCAAGUUCGGUCUGCAUACGAGUUAAAGCCUAGGAAGGGAAUCAAUAAAUACACUCCUGAAGACUUCACCCAAAGAGGCAAAAGGACGGUCGGCACCUCGCGGAUGGCAGCUUUGGAUGACUAUGUGGAUGACGAGGAGGAACUGGAGCCGGAGCCGGAGCGGGUUGCUCUUCCGAGGAAAGCAAAGAAGAUAGCCAACAGGAGGGGGGAGGAGCCAAAAAGCGCUCAAGGAACUAGUCGUCGUCCUCUAUAUGUAAUGUUGAACUUGGAGUGA
rnacentral:rRNA from 1 species